UGCCAGCCGCCGCGGUAAUACGGGGGGUGCAAGCGUUAAUCGGAAUUACUGGGCGUAAAGCGCGCGUAGGCGGUUUGUUAAGUCAGAUGUGAAAGCCCUGGGCUCAACCUGGGAAUUGCAUUUGAUACUGGCAGACUAGAAUACAGUAGAGGGAGGUGGAAUUUCAGGUGUAGCGGUGAAAUGCGUAGAGAUCUGAAGGAACAUCAGUGGCGAAGGCGACCUCCUGGACUGAUAUUGACGCUGAGGUGCGAAAGCGUGGGGAGCAAACAGGAUUAGAUA
rnacentral:rRNA from 1 species